UACGUAGGGACCAAGCGUUGUCCGGAAUUAUUGGGCGUAAAGGGCGCGUAGGCGAUUUGAAAAGUCUUGUGUGAAAGCCCCGAGCUUAACUCGGGAAGUGCACAAGAAACUGUUGAAUUUGAGUUCCGGAGAGGAAGGCAGAAUUCCCGGUGUAGCGGUGAAAUGCGUAGAUAUCGGGAGGAAUACCAGUGGCGAAGGCGGCCUUCUGGACGGAUACUGACGCUGAGACUCGAAAGCGUGGGGAGCAAACAGG
rnacentral:rRNA from 1 species